rnacentral:lncRNA from 1 species
GUGACUGACGGCAAGAAACACAUCAGCUUGGUGGUGCUGCUGCCCAUGUGUGUAAGUCUCUUCCAUUUGAGCCCCAGAAAUGGGACAAAAGCUUCACUUCAGUUCAGAUUAAGCGUUGGUGCCAGAUGAAGAAAAAUUUGGUUUCCAGAUUUUCCUUGGAUUUCAGGAUUGCAGAUAAGGGAUGCUCUGCGUAGAUGCUACUAAUCGCUGGUGUGACAGAUGAGGAAGCUGAAUAAGUGGCAAAGGAUGGAACUGAAGCAAGUUUUGGCAGCUUCUGAAAUCCAAACUCUUCUGAGAAAUGCCACUGUCUGUGGGGUCUGUGUUGAUUUCCUCUACCUUUCCUCUCAUCUGGAACAAGUCCUGUCUCCUCUGAGGGGAGAAGGAAGGGAAGCAGAAGCCUCAGGACUAGAGAACAUGGCUAUAGCCAAGGACUGAAGCUUCAGGGAAACAGCCGACAGUAGGAUUUUGAGAAAAGAAACGAGAGAGAAAGUUCCAGCUGACUCAGCCUCAGGCUUAGCUGUGCAGGGUAACCCUUUGCCUCCAACCCAGGCCGAAUCAGCACACCCAUUUAUGAACAUCCUGCAGUCAGCAAAUACGUGUUGAGUGCCAGGCACUGGAAUGCAGUGGUGAGCCAACACAGAAAGGGCCCUGUCCUCUCGGGGCUUACACCCCAAGACAAGGGGGCUUACACUCGAGUUUUGGCACCCUCAGG